AACAGCAAAAGUCAACCCAAAAUACAACGGCAAAACCAGAAACAGUGUGCAAGCAGCAACAGCAGCACGUACAACGCCCGCUAACAACAAAAAUUCAACACAAACCCCUUAAAUCACGCAAACCCCUCUCUCUCCAUCUUAUCUCUGCAAUUUUUAGCUUGAUUGUUGACUUUGGAAUUCUUUUAUUUCUUGCCAAAAUCUGAUCUAAAUCAGGUGUAAUAAACUCAAAUCCGGAUUUUUGGGGUAUGUCUUCCCCCACUAGUGUUUUUCUUCAAUUUGCUCAAUCAAUUUGAGAGACCCUGCUCAAAAGGCUAUUUGGGGAACUAAAAUCAAUAUUUCCCCUAUAAAUAGACGUUGAGGGGAAGAAGAAAAAGAAGGGGAUUUUAGGGAAAAAUUUGGAGGUUCGGGAGGCGCACGCUUCUAACCUCACGCAACCAAAAUUCUCAAAGAACACACUCGAAAAAGUUGAUUCCGAUGAUAGAUUAAAAUUCUGACGAACCAAAAUUGAAACAUCGUUGGAAAAGGUCCGGCGUAAUAGGCUUGUUCGUCCCAGUAUCGCUGCCCAAAAAUAGGUAAUACUCUCUCUCUACUUUGUUUUGGUAGCUUGCUUUCUUACAUACGCAUUGGAAUUCGAAUUGGACAUCUUUUUCGAGUUUGGUUUCAAGAAAAUUAAACAUUUUCUUCAAUGUGGUUUAGUGUUGUAUAUGGGAGUUUAAUGGUUUAAUGUUGUAUAUAGAAUUAUUGGUAUAUGAAGUGUUCUGUAGUUUAAAGUUGUUUAAAGGGUUGUGGCUUAAUGUUGUAUAUGGGAGCUUGAUGUUGUAUAUGAGAUUAUUGGCGUAUGAAGUGUUCUAAAGUUUAAAGUUGUUUAAAAAAGUUGUGGCUUAAUGUUGUAUAUGGGAGCUUAAUGUUGUGUGUAAGAUUAUUGCUAUAUGAAAUCUUUUGCCAAACAUUUGUGAAAUUGGUUUUAAUGUUUUAGAUAAAGUUUUCAACACAAUCAGGAAGUAGAAGUGAGUUUUCGGUAUUAAUGUAUGUAUUAGUAUUGAUUUCAAUUAAAGUCAUGGCACAUUUUGUCUCAAGUUUAAAAUGAAUAUCAGAAGAAAAAAAAAAGGGACCAUGAACUGCUCAAAGUUAUAAAAAAUAAAAGGACCUGUAAACAACUAACAUGGAGACAAAAAGAACUCUAAUUGACUGAGGACUUUAAGAACUCUUGAAUUCUUUUUUUUUUUGCCUUUUUCUUUUUGACGUGAUUAAUUAAAAUCAAGACUAAGCUUUAGUUUGUGUUGAUAAAAGUCUGCCUAAAAAAAUUACUGUGCUGAUGAAUAUCUCCUAGAAAGAAUAGCUUCUUCUUGAUUUAUGAUAAGUUGAUUAAAUUGUUCUUGCCUCAAAAUUAGGGCUGUGCAAAAACCGAACCGACCGAUAAACCGAACCGAUAAAAAUACUAUUGGGUUAUCGAUAUCCGGUUAUUGGGUUAUUGAUUUGUUAUUGGUUUUAUAAAAAAAAAAUUUGGUUAACCGGUUUGGUUCCGGUUUUGAUCUAUUGGGUUAUCAGUUUAACCGAUAACCCAAUAAGAAUACAGUAAAAUUAUUAUGCUAUCCCUAUUUAAUUUUUUUUUUGGUUUAAUUUAUCAUUUUAUUAAUAAUAAAACUUAAUGGCCCAACCCCAUUAUUCAAUAAAAUAAAAACCUGUUUCAACUUUCAGCAAUCCAUUACUCUACCAGGCCCAACCCAAAAUAACAUAUAUGGUAAUUGAUAAGUAGAAAGAGUAGGGUUUCUAAAUCAGAAGUUUCCAAAUCCACAUCUCAUCUUUAGUCCUCCACCGCCUCUUACUCUUCUGUUUCCUUUUUUUGUUGCUGUAGCUGAUCGAUCUUAUAGCUUCUCCCUCUUGUUGACCUGCUACUUUCAUCUUACUAAGGUACUGACUGAGAUUCCCUUGAUUAUUUACUCUUUGAUUCACUCUUUUGGCAAAAUCUUAAUGUUUUCCUCUCCAUUGAGAGGAUGUCGUCCCAGAAUUGGUCGUGAAUUUCUUAUAUUGUUUUGAUGAGAACUGUGAUUACUAUGAAUGAACCCAAUUUAUGUAUGUUUUUGAGAAAAAGAACUAUGAUGGUUGGAGUCUUGUCAAUUUGGCAGGUUCAAACUAUUUCGUG
rnacentral:lncRNA from 1 species